CCUUCAUCAUGGAGCACACGCAUUCCCCCAAGCCUAUCUGCCAGCCUUUGGGGAUGUUUUAGAUCCAAAUUGUAACACACUGCCCUUGGCCCACAAAGGCUUAUGUCCAUCUUACUAUGUAAACUGCUUUCAAUCCAUCUCUAAGAGUUAUCAAAGCCUUGACAGUUCAGCAUUGCCUAAAAGUCCAAGUUCAGAGCCUCCUCUGAGACUACUCAAAGCAACUCUUAGGUGUGAGCGCCUGUCACAUUCAAGUUACAAUGGCACUGGGUAAAAAUUCCCUUUCCAAAAGGGAGGGGUGGAAUACUACAAAAGAACGGCACCAAAGGAAGACUGAAAUGCAACAGGGCAAAGAUUUAGUCCUGUAGCUCCGCAUUUGGCACUCUUUCUUGGUUGGAGGGGAGGCAGAGCACUGUGAUGGAGAUAAAGUGUUGGAGCAGAGCUGCUCAAAUCAAGACAUCCAGGAAGGUGAGAAGGACAGAGGCACCAGGAUACCCUUCAAUGGAAUGGCCCCCGGUGACUUACUUACUCCUACUAGGCCCCACCUCCUAAAAUUUCUACCACCUUUCAAAAUAGCCAUAAACUCAGGACCAAGCUUCAUUCAGCACAUGAAUUUGGGAGACAUUUCAGAUCCAAACUAACAUCAUGAGGCUAAAUACAUAGGAAUAAAAGAGAUGGACUGAGAACAGAACCCAGGAUCGAUCCACCAAAGCGGAAAGAUGAAAUAAAGAGAGCCAUCAAAGACUAUUGAGCAAGAGUAUUCAGAAAGAAAUGGAAAAAAAAAAUCCGGGGAAUAUGCCAAGAAUACAAGGAAAGCAGAGUGUCUUUAGGAAGAAGGCAUAGUCAGUGGUGUUGAGCUUACAAGUAUGGCACAUAAAAUAACCAACAGUGUCUACUGGAUUUAGAAACAAGGAAACCUUGGCAAGAGAUGGAGUCAGAAACAACUUGCAGUGAAAGGAGAAGGAAAGGAAGUACCAGCAUACCUGUAAGACAAGGUGAAUACAAAGAUAUUUGGGUGUUGGCCAAGGAGAAGGACAAGGAAGCAGCGGGAAGCAGAGGAAGGGUGUGAGGUCUCAAGUCUGGGUCAUUGGUCAAGGUAGGUAUGACCUGGACUAGGGUGCAUCCUUGAACAAUAUCAAGGCUAG
rnacentral:lncRNA from 1 species